UCGCAGCGACUCUAAAUAACUGCCCGAGUCUACCCCUUACCAGGGGCGGGCAACGCUAUCAGUCUGCGCUGGAAGCUCCUCUCGUCAGAGGGCCAACCAGCAGCUUCAGGGAGCCCCUGAAGUCCACAGAUCAAACGAUAGCGGCCACAAUGUGGUUUAGAUAUGACCGGCCCCAACCGCUAAGCGGAUGGAGAAAUUUUUGCGGAACCUGCGGAAGGA
rnacentral:rRNA from 1 species